rnacentral:lncRNA from 1 species
AACCUGUGGCGCGCUCCGCGGUUCCGGCGCCUGAAGUUUUAGCUGCGGUGGCGGCGGCAGUCGGGACCGACUGCAAGGCAGGUUGAGAUGAUGGAUCUGAGGCUUGCAGCUCGCAGUCCCAACGAGCCUUAGGGACCAGGGCUACCAAAAGGGUGGGGAGAACGGUGGUGGCAUCUGUCUGUUGCCUGGGAUCCAGGCGCCCGGUUGGGGAAUCCUUACUUCAGGAAGCGCAGCCGCGGCUCUGUGUUUUGAGAGUGCAAAUGUCAUUUGUCAGAGUGAACCGCUGUGGUCCCCGAGUUGGUGUAAGAAAGACACCGAAAGUAAAGAAGAAGAAAACUUCAGUGAAACAAGAAUGGGAUAAUACCGUGACUGAUCUAACCGUUCAUCGGGCAACUCCCGAAGAUCUGGUACGCCGUCAUGAAAUACACAAAUCGAAGAAUAGAGCAUUAGUACACUGGGAACUCCAAGAAAAAGCUUUGAAGAGAAAAUGGAGGAAGCAGAAACCAGAAACUUUAAAUCUUGAGAAAAGAAGAUUGUCUAUCAUGAAGGAGAUUCUUUCUGAUCAAUACCAGAUGCAAGAUGUGUUGGAGAAAUCUGAUCAUCUAAUAGCUGCAGCAAAAGAGCUGUUUCCUCGUAGGCGCACAGGGUUUCCAAAUGUAACAGUGGCUCCUGAUUCCUCUCAGGGUCCCAUUGUGGUAAAUCAAGACCCUAUCACCCAAUCUAUCUUUAAUGAGUCUGUCAUAGAACCUCAGGCUCUUAAUGAUGUAGAUGGUGAAGAAGAAGGAACUGUUAAUAGCCAGUCAGGAGAAAGUGAGAAUGAGAAUGAGUUGGAUAACUCUCUAAACUCUCAGUCUAACACGAAUACAGACAGGUUUCUCCAACAACUAACAGAAGAGAAUUUUGAGUUAAUUAGUAAGUUGUGGACUGACAUUCAGCAGAAAAUAGCAACCCAGUCACAAAUAACUCCUCCAGGAACGCCAUCAUCUGCUCUUUCAUCAGGGGAGCAAAGAGCUGCUCUGAAUGCUACCAAUGCUGUCAAGAGACUCCAAACCAGGCUUCAGCCUGAAGAAUCUACUGAGACUCUAGACUCAAGCUACGUUGUGGGACACGUGCUGAACUCAAGGAAGCAAAAACAGCUGUUAAAUAAAGUGAAAAGGAAACCGAAUUUGCAUGCUCUUUCCAAGCCGAAGAAAAACAUAUCAUCAGGUAGCACAACCUCUGCAGACUUACCAAAUAGGACUAAUUCCAACCUGGAUGUCCUCAAACACAUGAUACAUGAAGUGGAACAUGAAAUGGAAGAAUAUGAGCGGUGGACAGGUCGCGAGGUCAAGGGUCUGCAGAGCAGUCAGGGUCUUACAGGCUUCACUUUGUCGCUGGUGAGCUCCCUCUGUCGCCUGGUUCGGUACCUUAAAGAGAGUGAGAUCCAGCUACGUAAAGAAGUAGAGACAAGGCAACAACUGGAACAAGUAUUAGGUGAUCAUCGAGAGCUCAUUGAUGCUCUGACAGCUGAAAUUCUUCGUCUUAGAGAAGAAAACGCUGCUACACAGGCAAGACUUCAGCAGUACAUGGUCACAACAGAUGAGCAACUGAUAUCACUCACACAUGCUAUUAAGAACUGUCCUGUGAUAAAUAACAGACAAGAAAUUCAGGCAUCAGAAAGCGGAGCCACAGGUAGAAGAGUUAUGGACAGUCCAGAGCGUCCAGUUGUAAAUGCCAAUGUCUCAGUGCCAUUGAUGUUCAGAGAGGAAGUGGCUGAAUUCCCACAGGAAGAGUUGCCCGUUAAACUGUCUCAGGUGCCAGACCCUCCAGAUAACAUGAAUCUGGCCAAGAAUUUUCCAGCACAUAUUUUUGAGCCAGCUGUGUUGUUAACACCACCCAGGCAGAAGAGCAACUUAAAAUUCUCUCCUCUUCAGGACGUAUUGAGAAGGACUGUUCAAACUCGUCCUGCUCCACGACUUCCUCCAACUGUGGAAAUAAUUGAGAAGGAACAAAAUUGGGAAGAGAAGACCUUACCUAUUGAUACAGACAUUCAGAAUUCAAGUGAAGAGAAUCGUCUCUUCACUCAGAGAUGGAGAGUCUCUCACAUGGGAGAAGAUUUGGAGAACAAAACUCAGGCUCCUUUUGUUAACCUCUCACAGCCCCUCUGCAAUUCCCAUUCCAACACUCAACAGUCAAGAAGCCCCACAUUCUCAGAAGAGCUCCCAGUACUGGGAGAUGGGCAGCAGCUGAGAACAAAUGAGUCAUUAAUACAAAGAAAGGACAUAAUGACACGAAUUGCUGAUUUGACAUUGCAGAAUUCAGCUAUCAAGGCACAUAUGAAUAAUAUUAUUGAGCCCAGAGGAGAGCAAGGGGAUGGACUCCGGGAGUUGAACAAACAAGAAAGUGCAAGUGACAUGACUUCUACUUUUCCAGUAGCACAGUCUCUAACACCAGGUAGUAUGGAGGAACGGAUUGCAGAAUUGAAUCGACAAAGUAUGGAGGCUCGUGGAAAACUACUGCAGUUGAUAGAGCAGCAGAAACUUGUUGGUUUGAAUCUUUCUCCACCAAUGUCACCUGUUCAGUUACCUCUCAGAGCAUGGACUGAAGGAGCAAAGAGGACAAUUGAGGUAUCUAUUCCAGGAGCAGAAGCCCCAGAAAGCUCAAAAUGUAGUACUGUCUCUCCCGUCAGCGGGAUAAAUACAAGAAGAUCUUCCGGGGCUACUGGUAAUUCUUGUUCUCCACUAAAUGCCACCUCAGGAAGUGGGAGAUUCACACCUCUUAAUCCAAGAGCAAAGAUUGAGAAACAGAAUGAAGAAGGCUGGUUUGCUCUUUCUACCCAUGUAUCAUAAGUGAAGUCAAGUCUCACUGAGUUUGUUCUUAAUAAUUUAUUACUUCCCUUUCCCUGCUCUGACUUUUAAGUUUUUAUAUCCUUCUUUCAGAUAAAACCUACAAAGAUCCUGUGAAUUAGUACUAAUGAAACAGAGAAAUAAAGCAAUUAUUUUUUGACUUUCUCAAAUAAGUUUUCAACAACCAACUGACCUACAGCUCCCUGUGAAUGAAACUUUGACUGUAGAGAAGUUAAAGUUUUGUAUUUUAAUACUUUCUUAAGUAUUUUAAGGGUUUUUUUUAUUAAUACAUUUUUACCUUUAUCUUUAUUCAGGGUUUUUUGAGGUUUAGUAUAUCUUAGUUGAUCCAUUUAUUUAUUUAUUUUCCUGAAGAACUAAUUUGCUUUGCAUGUAACUUACAAUAAAAUUCCUCUGUGUGAUUAGAGUCUGGCUUUCAGGAAUAUGUAACACCCACUUUUCUUUCUUUUUUCUUGGGAAGUCAUUGCUGUUCAUCACUUUUUCCAUCAAGUGAAAUAUACAGCCUUAAAAACAAUAGGCCUGGGAGUGUUUGUUUAUAUUUGCUUAAGCAGUGUCAUGAGGCGGAGAAGGCCCGACCAAAGGGCGGAUAGGUACCGGGUUCCCGGAGAGCUGGACGCCGGCCGCGCAUGCGCCCCACGGCCCGCCCUGGUUCCGCCUCCCUGGAAGAGGGGUGGCGUUGUCUCGGUAACCGGAGUAAACGGAGGCCUCCGGCAGACGCUGUGAAGAGAGGAGCCGCGGCGGUCAGUACCUUCGAGGAAAUGAAGGAACCAGAUGAUCAGGAUACUGAUGGGGAGAAAUCAGUUACAUCAAAGAGUGAUGGGAAGAAGUCUCUGAGGUCUUCUAAAUCAGAAUCAAGAUCUCCUGUUCAAGAAGAUAACACAUUUUUAGAAGAUGACACAGAUGAAACAUUUACCAAAGGGGAAGGAUCAUAUUUAGAAGAAGACUCAGAUGAGGAACGUUUGGAAGGAAGUUUGAGUUCAUUUCAGUAUGGUGAUUUGCAAAGCACUACAGUACCUCAGCAAACCCCUGCUCCAGCUGUGGAAGAAGCAGAGGAGGAAGUUAAGAAGAAAAUAUCAGAGAGCUUCUUCUAUGAUUAUAUGGAGCUUGCUUCGAUGCCUUUUGUGACUCUGGAUUCAAACAUACCACUGGAUCUUCUCACACUUGUGUAUCCACCCUGGCUAAAUAUGUAUAAUUUUGGGAUUUUCAUUUCUUAGGUCAGAGGUCAGCAAACUAUAGCCCAGGGAGCCCAAAUGUGCCUUCCCACCUGUUUUGGUAAAUCAAGUUUUAUUGCAACACAGCCACAUCCAUUUGCUUACAUUUUGUUUAUUAUGGCUGCCAUCACACAACAAGGACAGGGAUAAGUAGUUGUGACAGAGACCAUCUGGCUCACAAGGCAAAAACUAUUUACUACCUUCCCUUUAUAAAAAAAUGUGUGCCAACCCAUAUUAGGUAAUUCUAAGAAGCUUGAAUUCUUAGAGAUUUGAUAGAAAUGCAUGAUCUUAAUUUAAACUAAGCUUUUGUUUGAUGCCAAAUAACCAUACAGAGAAAUAUUUUUUCUGGCUGUCCUUUGCACAAGUGGAAAGGCUGCAGUUCAUGAGAUCUGAGUGAAGGAAAUCAGAAGGCUUCUUCUUCCCAUUUACUUUUGUCAGUGCCUGUCAAGUUACAUAAUCAAUUUCCCUUCUUGAAACACUUAUGUGUCUGUCCAUUGUAAGGCAUUAGUACUUUCACAUUAUAUAUCAGAUGAGCUAUCAGAGAAGACAAUUCUUAGGAAACAGGGCACAAAAUAUAAAGUUUUAAUUGGUUUGGAGAAUAAGAGUCUUUUAAGAUAUGUAGAAACAGGAUGAUUGACAAGGGGAUUUUGUGUUCGUCAUCACAUUAUGAUGUUAGGUUUGCAAUGCGGGUAGUUAGAAAACAGUUUUCAUUGAGGUCCUUAGCUGGCAAUGUACUGUGCUUCCCUUUUGGAUAGUUAGUACUUAUCACCACGUGGCCUAAACCACCAACUGGCCUCUUACAUAAGGAAUACUUACAGAGAUAGGGUGGUGUACUCCCUGACUCAGUUUUGCUUUUUACAUAAAAACAUAAAAAUAGAACAUGUUGUUAAAUCCCAGGUGUAACUAAAUUAAUUCGUGCUGAUUUAUCUUGUAACCUGGAAUUUUCUCUCUUCAUGGCUUUUUUUUUCCUUAUCUUUGGACAAGUUUCUGACAAAAGUUAUGCUGUUUGCUUUCUUUUAGCCUUUUUUUCCCAAAUGGGAUGGGGUGGUAUAUUAGAGUCCCCUGGAAGUUUUUCCUAAAGUACACAAUGCUCUGAUGCCUUCCGGGACCUACUGUGCUAGUUCUUUGUGGAGAGGGACUUGGGAAUAUGUACUCUGAAGAAACUCCGAGUUGGUUUGGCAGUGCACUGCCUUCUCACUGCUCCAGGAUGGGAGGGUCUGUAUUAGACAAAUAUGCCUAAAUUCUAAACAUCAGAGUCAGAAGAACCUUAACUUUUAUUCCAAUAUAUGAAUUAUCUCUAUUCGUGCUGGAUGGGUGGCUGUAUAAACUAUAGCCUUUUCUUAAACAUUUUCAACACCAGGAAAAUCACAAAGUAGCUUACCCCACUUUUGGACGGCUCACUAGAGAGCUUUUUGGGCCUUGAAUAAAAUUCUGCCUUGCUGGGAUGGCCCCCAUUAGAUUUAGUUCUCCUCUCUGCAGAUGGACAUAUAUAAUCUCUAUAUCUUGUGAGGAAUUCUAGGAAGAACAAGUCAGCCAUCAGGUAUUCCCUAAGUACUCUUUUAAUUAACCCUUUAAUGAUUAUUAGUAUAUUAUAUUGAUUCUACUUCAGUUUUUGCUUUUUUGUUUUGUUCUGUUUUGUUUUGAGAUGGAGUCUUGCUCUGUCGUCCAGGCUGGAGUGCAAUGGCACGAUCUCUGCUUACUGCAACCUCCGCCUGCCGGGUUCAAGCAAUUCUCCUGCCUCAGCCUCCCGAGUAGCUGGGACUAUAGGCAUGCACCACCACAUCCAGCUAAUUUUUGUAUUUUUAGUAGAGAUUGGGUUUCACCAUAAUGGCCAGGCUGGUCUCGAACUCCUGACCUCGUGAUCUGCCCGCCUUGGCCUCCCAAAAUGCUGGGAUUACAGGUGUGAGCCACCGCGCCUAGCCCUCUACUUCAGUUUUUAAAUUUAUGUCUUCUAAAUUUUAGCAAUGUUAAAUCAAGUUUAGCCUAAAGCUGCCUCCUUACAUACUUUAAGUUCAGCCUCCAGGUUUCUCUGUACAUGGUGAACUAUAACCUAAAGGGAGUUAGACUCUAGCCUACUCUUGAGCCAGUUACUGAGUUGUGGUCAAAGGUGGCCAACUGUUCAAACUGUGUUAAAAUAAGGCAGAUGCCAAGCUGUAACCAAUUCGGCUAUUUCUGUACCUCACUUUCGUUUUCUGUAUGUCACUUUCCUUUUUCAGUCCAUAAAUCUUCCUGCACGUGGCUGUGCUGGAGUCUCUGGGCCUACUCUGGCUCAGAAGGCUGCCGAAUUCUUGAAUGGUUCUUUGCUCAAUUAAACUCUGUUAAAUUUAA